CUGGAGACUAAGAAAACAGAGUCCUUGAAGUCAAGCUGACUCUGCAUUCAGCCUCCUAUAUGAAAAGGUAAGAUAGAACAGGUCUUGUUUACAAAAUAAAUCCAAGACCUACUUAUCUACCAACAGCA
ensembl:scaRNA